AAAAAAAAAACAACCGGAAGGAUAGCCCCAAGCCGGACAGGAGCUGGACGAACCCACUCGAAGCCGACUGCCACAGGAAAGUAACAAGAAGUUGUGUUUAUUGUUCAACCCUGAAGGAAGAGGGACAAGGACAUUUUGUGUUGGACUUUUGUGUUGUGUUUCAAGAACCUACCUUUGCCUUUGUUUGAGUUAUAACCUGAGUUGUACCUUUUUAUAAGUGAGUUUACCAAAUUAAAACUUUCUUUUAACCUCCAAUCGUGACUGAUUCCUCAGUAACGGCACUGCCUAACCCUGCAACCUGUUACAAUGCCUAAACAUCUUUUCUUACUUGCUCUGGUGCAUUUCCAAGUCAUUUAUGUGUGCACAGUAGUCAGAGAGAAUAGAAGUUCAAGCCUUUUCUCUUUCGCCAGGGUCCCAGACAGGCCCCCCCAUUGAGGAGACUGUAGAGGUGUUCUCUGACAGCUCUAUGUCGGGGAGCGACACCCAUGAGUGACAUGCACUGUACCUCCUGGCACACCGUCCCCACAAGAAGAGACCGGACAGUCUUAUGGUCUACCCGGCUCUGUGACAGAGGACUACAGGCUGGAGGACAGUGAUGUUAUCAUCUCUGGUGUCCAGUCGGGCAACCCUGUUCUGGCGUCACUGAGUGACAAGGUGAACAACAUCAGGGUGAUGCUGCUCCAGCCCCAGUUGGAUGACCCUGCCAUCGAUCAUGCCAUGGCACUCUUGAGGGUCCAAUACCCUCAUGUCGGAGGCCUCCUCUCCACCACCUCCCUGGCCCUACUGACACCUCUCCCAGCACCAACCCAGGGAUUUGUACAAAUACUUCAUAUUUGUGGGAAUCACUGGGUUGUGGUAAGUAAUGUUGGCUGCAAGGUAGGAUAAGUAAAUAUCUUUGAUUCCCUUCAUCCUACAUGCACAGAUGACUUUGCUGCCCAAGUAACUGCCAUUCUUCAGUUUACGGGGAAGACUACAGUGGCCAGACGUGCAGCGACAGAAGGGGGGUUGCAGAUUGUGGACUGUUUGCCAUUGCAAACAGUCUUACACUCUGCAGAGGUGAGGAUCCUUGCAUGGUACAGUACCAUCAAGACCACAUGCGGACUCAUCUCUGUUCCUCUUUACAGGCUGGCGAGUUAGCACCAUUCCCCAGCACGAGGAAGAGUGCCUCUGCUGUUCCUGUUUACCUCAUUGAGGUGGAGGUGCACUGCUACUGCAGGCAGACUGUGCGGAGAGCAACACCCCACCUGCCUUCUUACUAAAGAAGUUCCACCAGCUGAAGGUGACCUAUAUGCCAGACUGGAACAGAAAAGCAACACCCCACUGCCUACUUACAAAAGAAGUUCCACCAGCUGAAGGUGACCUAUAUACCAGACUGGAACAGAAAGUGUUUCUGUGGUGAGUCUGUUCACAUCCCUAUACGUCCCUACACAUCACCUCAUCCAGGCUGCAUGGCGGUUGGUAUUCAUCUGCAGAUUUAAUUUAGCUGUCAACUUAAUUGGGCCUACAGGUUAUAUCACUCCC